rnacentral:rRNA from 1 species
GAACAUGAGAGUUCGAUCCUGGCUCAGGAUAAACGCUGGCGGCGUGCUUAACACAUGCAAGUCGAACGGAGCUUUUCCUUCGGGGAAAGCUUAGUGGCGGACGGGUGAGUAACGCGUGGGUAACCUGCCCUGUACAGGGGGACAACAGCUGGAAACGGCUGCUAAUACCGCAUAAGCCCUUAACACCGCAUGGUGUAUAGGGAAAAGGAGCAAUCCGGUACAGGAUGGAC